rfam:Oryza meridionalis cultivar OR44 (W2112) chromosome 11, whole genome shotgun sequence.
AAUAAGCGUAGACGUGAGUUUCCAUGUCUAACUUUGAUCGCUUGUCUUAUUUGAAGUUUUUUAUGAUUUAAUUUUUUAUUGUUAUUAGAUUAUAAAAUAUGAAUAGUACUUUCUGCGUGACUUGUAUUUUUAAAUUUUUGAAACAAAAUUCAAAUAAGAUGUAUGAUUAAAGUUGGAUACGAAAAACUUAUAGCUGCACAUAUU